AUUGAACGCUGGCGGCAUGCUUUACACAUGCAAGUCGAACGGUAACAGGCCUUCGGGCGCUGACGAGUGGCGAACGGGUGAGUAAUGCAUCGGAACGUGCCCAGUCGUGGGGGAUAACUAUCCGAAAGGAUAGCUAAUACCGCAUACGAUCUGCGGAUGAAAGCGGGGGACCUUCGGGCCUCGCGCGAUUGGAGCGGCCGAUGUCAGAUUAGGUAGUUGGUGGGGUAAAGGCUCACCAAGCCAACGAUCUGUAGCUUGUCUGAGAGGACGACCAGCCACACUGUGACUGGGACACGGCCCAGACUCCUACGGGAGGCAGCAGUGUGGAAUUUUGGACAAUGGGCGCAAGCCUGAUCCAGCAAUGCCGCGUGCAGGAAGAAGGCCUUCGGGUUGUAAACUGCUUUUGUACGGAACGAAACGGCUCUGGUUAAUACCCGGGGCUAAUGACGGUACCGUAAGAAUAAGCACCGGCUAACUACGUGCCAGCCGCCGCGGUAACAC
rnacentral:rRNA from 1 species